UACGUAGGGAGCAAGCGUUGUCCGGAAUCACUGGGCGUAAAGCGCACGUAGGCGGACUCUUAAGUCGGUGGUGAAAUCCUGGAGCUCAACUCCAGAACUGCCUUCGAUACUGGGAGUCUCGAGUCCGGGAGAGGUGAGUGGAACUGCGAGUGUAGAGGUGAAAUUCGUAGAUAUUCGCAAAGAACACCAGUGGCGAAGGCGGCUCACUGGCCCGGUACUGACGCUGAGGUGCGAAAAGCGUGGGGGAGCAAAACAGG
rnacentral:rRNA from 1 species